CAGGCUGCCUCGCUAAACGAUGCACACCUGUAACUCACGUGACCCUGGUUAUUAUUGAAACAAGAACGAGGGCGUCGUGCCUUUAUAAGACUGCGUUAAUAGUUCCGUAGAGUUAUCCCUUCCGUUGUUGUUUAUUGAUUGUUAAACAUGGCGUCAUUUGCAAAGGUGGUUGUGUGUGUCCUCAUUGCUUGUGACUGUAAUGCAUUCGGUUUUCCGAAGAGAGAUGUGAACUUAAAGGCCUCUGCAGUUGACCGCCAAAGUGAUGAUGUGGUUGUCACCACAACACCCGUUCCCCACAACCAGACCACCUCUGCCCCUACUGAAGCUGGUGGUGGUGCAAGUGAAGAUGCUGUGGCUACUACCCCAGCACCUAAUCCACACAACCAGACAACUUCUGCACAAACUGAAGUUACUGAUGGGGCCAGUGAAGAUGCUGUGGACCGCCAAAGUGAUGUGGUUGUCGCCACAACACCCAAUCCCCACAACCAGACCACAUCUGCCCCUACUGAAGCUGGUGGUGGAGCAAGUGAAGAUGCUGUGGCUACUACCCCAGCACCUAAUCCACACAACCAGACAACUUCUGCACAAACUGAAGUUACUGAUGGAGCAAGUGAAGAUGAUGCAGAUGCAGAUGAAGAUGAUGCAGAUGAAGAUGAUGAUUCAGCAAGUGAAGAUGCUGUGGCUACCACCCCAACACCAAAUCCCCCAACUACAUCUGACCACACUGCAGCUACCGAUGAUGCAAGUGAGGGUGCUGUGGCUGCCCAAACUGGAGCUACUGUAUCCCAUACGACUGAAGUCUGAUUCGACUGCUCCUCUGGUCACAAUGACCUGUCUGGACUUUUUGCCUCUACAUGUUGACUGCAAUAAAGGACAGAUUUGUAUUUUUUAAUCAAAUGUUGUCUUGCCUUUUUCAAAUUGAGGCCUUGUCCUGUUUUGGUAGUGGAGAUGACUAUGAAGCCUCUUUCCUAACGUAUUUCCUGUAGUGGUUUUACUAUAUGCUUCAUGCAACAAGGCCUUCAACGACUCUACAAUUUAAAAGCAUCUAGUUUUGUCUGAAUUUGUAAAAUGGUUGAACUGGUAGUGAUGCAC
ensembl:lncRNA